GACGAACGCUGGCGGCGUGCCUAAUACAUGCAAGUAGAACGCUGAAGGAGGAGCUUGCUUCUCUGGAUGAGUUGCGAACGGGUGAGUAACGCGUAGGUAACCUGCCUGGUAGCGGGGGAUAACUAUUGGAAACGAUAGCUAAUACCGCAUAAGAGUAGAUGUUGCAUGACAUUUGCUUAAAAGGUGCAAUUGCAUCACUACCAGAUGGACCUGCGUUGUAUUAGCUAGUUGGUGAGGUAACGGCUCACCAAGGCGACGAUACAUAGCCGACCUGAGAGGGUGAUCGGCCACACUGGGACUGAGACAAGGCCCAGACUCCUACGGGAGGCAGCAGGAGGGAAUCUUCGGCAAUGGACGGAAGGCUGACCGAGCAACGCCGCGUGAGUGAAGAAGGUUUUCGGAUCGGAAAGCUCUGUUGUAAGAGAAGAACGAGUGUGAGAGUGGAAAGUUCACACUGUGACGGUAUCUUACCAGAAAGGGACGGCUAACUACGUG
rnacentral:rRNA from 1 species